UUUUUUUUUUUUUGUAUUUUUAAAAAAUUACAGUUGAUUUACAAUGUUGUGCCAGUGCAGUCACUUUCAACUGGCCCCAACCACUGCUACCCCCAGCUCCAGGCAACCACCAAUUGCCUAUUCUAAAUGACCACACUAUAUGGCCUUUCUCAUCCUACCACUUUUGGCUGGCAUAAUAUUUUUAGGACUCAUCCAUGUUGUAGUAUGUAUUAGUAUUUCACUCCUUUUCAUGGCCGCAUAAUAUGCCAUUGUGUGGACAUACCACAUUUUGUUUAUUCAUCUGUCCAUUAACAGACAUCUUGGGUUUCUCUACUUCUUGGCCAUUGUGUAUAAAGCUGCUGCUAUGAACAUUUGUGUACAAAUUUUUGCAUAGACAUAUGUUUUCAAGUUUCUUGUGUACAUGCCUAAAAGUAGAAUUGUUGGGUCAUGUGGCAAUUCUAGGUUUGAACACAUAAGGAACAGACAGGCUUUUUUCCAAAGUAUUUACAUUUUCACUAGCAGUGUAUGAGUAUUCAAUCUUAUACAUCUUAGUCAACACUGACUAUUAUCUGUCUUUUUAAAUUAUAGUCAUGCUUGUGGAAACACUGUAUUUUGAGGCAGUUCAUCUAUAACAUCCACUGAAUUGGAUGUUGGCAGACAUUGCAUAUUUUAUAAACUAAAAAAGAAACAUUUUAUAGAUUGGUAACAGUCAUUAUAAAAGUAGGAUUAAAUAGUCCAAACCCAAAAGCGAAACAAUUUAAAAUAAAAAGUAGAAGUUAAAAAAAAUUAAAAAUGAAACAAGUACAUUUCAAGACGAAUGACCACAACAUGAACUCCUGUGACCACAGAUCUGUCACUUUUUUGGUACAUCAGUCCGUAGCUAACCUACUAAUCAGAGCUCAAGAAAGUUGUGCCCUUUUUGGAGAGGUACAAACACAUCUGUUGGCUUAUUCUAACCAUCAGAAAUCAGACAAUAAAUCCCAUUAGUAGUGGAUGAAGCAUUUUAUCAGCACCAAAGAUUAACUGCAAAAUUAAUGCUGCAAAGCCUCUAUUUUUGGAAUAUUGAAAAAACUGAAUUAAACAACAGAAAUUAAUCAUAAGUGAAAAAAAAAGAAAUUAAGCAUAAGCGAAUGCACUAUACACAGCACAAAAAUGUUAAUGAACGGGAAGGAAGAUGUCACAAGAAGGAAAAGUCUGAACUAUGUUUUACAAAACGACAAAGCGGGCACUUAGGAAAACAGUGACUUAUAUUAGUCAGAUGCUCAGACCUUUGCUAACUCUAAAUACAUCUCUGAAAACUUCACCCCACUCUAUCCCAAGAGCACUUCAUAUGUUUGCUUGUAAUACAUAAAUGGCAGAAAACUUUUAUUUAUAUUUUUAAAGCACACGUAAACCAGUAGAGGUGCACCAACAAGGCAACAGAAAAAACCAUAAAGGAUAAAUAUGGCUUCUAAAAUAACGACUCCAAGUCUCAUUCAUAAUUCUAGUGGUAUGCAUUAAAAUAAUAAUGACAUAAUAGUUAUUUAGAAAUUGAAAAUACAAACAUAUUUUUCUGUUGACGUUUCUAACGCAUGAACUGUCUCAGACACAAACUCCCAUUAGUUUGCAGAAAGGUCGUCUUUAAAGAAACUCAAUUCCUUCAUCUACAGUCAUUUUCUCCCGAUCUUGUCUUAGCUCUUAGAUAAAAAAGGCCCAAGAGCUCACAAAACAUAGGCAUAUUCCCAUACCAAUUUAGACUUGUAAGACUUUCACAGAACACAGCAUCAAACUUUGUUAUAAAGAACUACAAUUUUGGAGUUCCCAUUGUAGCUCAGUGACUAGCAUCCAUGAGGAUGCAGGUUCCAUCCCUGGCCUCCCUCAGUGGGUUAAGAAUCCAGUGUUGCCAUGAGCUGUGGUGUAGGUCGCAGAUGAGGCUUGGAUCCUGCAUUGCUGCAGCUCUGGCAUAGGCCAUCAGCUACAGCUCCAAUUCGACCCUAGUCUGGGAACCUCCAUANUCAACAAGAACUAACUAGAAUUUUACCACUCCCAGUCUGUUUUAUUCUUCUUUUCUUUCUCCACAUAAGUGCCUGAGCAACAGGAUUUGGCGAAAGUCUUCUGACUAUAAACCUUUGGUAGCUUAUGAAUUGUGGAAUAUCCUGACCGUUAUACCUAACGAAAAUUAUUUAACCUGUAGCUAGAUAAGGAAUGAUGGCUGUCCUUGAGUGGUUUCAAUGAGUAUUCUUUUAGGAAUUACAAGAUACGCAUUACCAUAUAUCUAUAUUCUUUUCAGCUGGUUCAUUUAAAAAUUGAUCAGAGACAAAAACUAUUUUUGAAAAGUCUAUUUUGCAAAAACGUAUGCCUUUUUCCUUAUAUAAUCUAUUUUACUUAUACAGAAUGCUUCCUUUUUUUCUCUUUAUUAAACAGAAAAUCAAUGUGCCAAGUUUCUACUCUCUGUUCAGACUCUACUUGAACAGCAAACAAUUCAAGAUACACAGAUGAUAAAUCUUGACAGAAUUUUUUCAGUGAACAUUGGUCACUCGCUCGACAGAAUAAAAUUUUUGAUUGUGCUUGUUUCGUUAAAAGUCUUCAUUGGUUCUCCUUAAGCCUGAAAAUAAAAUCGUGUUAAGCUACCCUCCCCCCUUCUCUCUGCCUAUUCUAACCUAUUCUCGACAGGUGCUACUGGUGAACUUUCACCCUAUUUUUGGUCUAUUGUGCCUUAUUAAAUCUGAACCGCAUGUGCAGUCAAAGAAAAAGUGAUAUUCUUUUAGUCAUUUUAAACUACUGUUUCCUGAUAUUCCAUAUAUAAGUCAUAUUUCAGCGGGUUUUUUUCCCCCCUGCCAUCUCACGAGUCUGUGUGUUAAAAUUCAGGAAUAUAUUUUUGGAACAGUUUGGUGUAGUUUAGUGGUUUUCAGGAAGCAAAUUUAAGGAUUUUCUUGUUUCUUUUCCCUCCUAGCCAGACAAGAGCAAGGAGACAGGAUGGUGAAAGCUGGGGAAGGUAUGAUGGCACAGCGGUGGCAGAAUGUGGUCACCAAGGGCCACAGGACGCUGCAGGGACCUGGGGGAGGGGGUCCACACUGUUGUUUCAUGAGGCCUCAGUGAUGCCCUUUGGAGUAAAAAGAACGUGGUUGCCCAGAACACAACUGUCCUACAUCCGUGCAUGGGGUGGGUGGUUAUAGGAGUGACCCUGGCGGACACAUAGGCUCACAGAUAAGGUUGUCUACACCUGCCCACUUCUCUGUGAAUAUACGUUCUCAGGGGCCUGGAGGAAAUCCAAGAUCAUCUGAGGGCUCCUUCGUGGAGAAAGAAGUCCAGAUCCCAGUUUAUAUGCAAAAACACGAAACACGUGUCUUACUCUCCCAGACAAGGCAUGGGAUUCUAACUCCUUCUUUCUCUUUUCCCCUCUAGUGGACAUCGGUUGAGCUCCAGACAGCUUGAGUGCUCCUAAGCCAUGAAGCUUCCAGGGCACUCACAAUUUCAAAUUCUCUGUUUCCAAUUUUGGACAAUGAGUUCUGAAUUUCAGUUCUGGAGAUACAGGUAGAGGAUACCUGUUGACCUUGGCCAAUCCCUUCAUAUUUCUCUCUUGGGAGCUCCCUUGAAUAAGGGGGGUCUUGAGGACACCUGCUGCCUGGUGGAGACAUCAGAUUGAGAAGCACACAGCGAGUGCCUUGCCUCCCACCCUGAAAGCCCCCAGACCUGCUGGCCAGCUGAGCUCUCGGCCUUCGCAGUGAGCUCUACAACCUGGAAUCCAAGGUGGGCACUGUUAAACCAUCAUCGCCUCUGACUUCUGGAGAAUAAUACUGAGCAAUUCUGUUCAAACACCUUCCAAGACCAGACUAAAAGUCUUGAGUUUAAAGGGAUGGUCAGACUUAUGGUGGACAGGAAACGUCAUAACCCAUAAAGGGCAUUCACAUUCAAAGGAAGAAUUUUAGAAAUUGUGCUUGCCAAACGAAAUACAUGCUGCCAGAUUCCAGCUCCUGGUUUGGGGGGUUGGGGGUCCACAGCAGCGUCAGAGGCAAGAAAGGACCUGGGGUAAAAUUCCACAAGCUUUCAUGAAUACACCCUAUGCCGAAUUCUUGGAAAAGCAGCUUCUUCCACGAUGAGGUUAUAGUUUGUGCCUCGGCUCCGUGCUGUUUCUUCUGCACAUCUCCAAGGGCAACCUGCAUCUCUCUGCAGGGCCCUCUUCAGGACGUCCGAAAACAGACCACUGCGGCCAAUUCACUUAAUGUUCUCUCUGUUCUCCUAAUACCACAUAAUGAAUAGACAACCUUCUGGAAAAUGGGGCUUUUGGUGUUUUUUUUUGAAAACCCCGGUGUCUGGUUAACCCCAAUCCUUUUCUGUCCGCGUGUUCCCUAAUGUUCAGACCCUUUCUGCUAAACUUGCAAUGACGGAUGACACGCCCAUCUUGCCGCCUCCCCAGAGGAAGCAAAAGCUUGCUGCUUUUAUUGAUCCAGGAGCCCUUCAAGAGUCACCACAUGCUCCUGGAAGCUUCUGUCCGAGGGAGGAACGUUCACUCUGACAACCCUGUGCAGACAGAAGCUCACUUCGGGCAGCUGUCCAGCCAUCCCUGCCUCUUGACAGCAGGGAGAGACGGGCCCCCACUGCUCAGUGCCAGUGGGAUUUUCGGGAGUCCUGGCCGCCACGAAGAGAGAAACGGCCUGGACUCAGCAAGGGUAGGGGCUGGCUGGCCAAAGCUGGCAGGGUCAAUGGCUCAGCAAAGGAUCAAGCAGCUGACAGUGAAGGAGGACUAUGGGUGGCAACAAGCAAAAAAAAAAAAAAAAAAAAAAAAAA
rnacentral:lncRNA from 1 species